GACGAACGCUGACGGCGUGCUUAACACAUGCAAGUCGAACGGAAAGGCCCUGCUUUUGUGGGGUGCUCGAGUGGCGAACGGGUGAGUAACACGUGAGUAACCUGCCCUUGACUUUGGGAUAACUUCAGGAAACUGGGGCUAAUACCGGAUAGGAGCUCCUGCUGCAUGGUGGGGGUUGGAAAGUUUCGGCGGUUGGGGAUGGACUCGCGGCUUAUCAGCUUGUUGGUGGGGUAGUGGCUUACCAAGGCUUUGACGGGUAGCCGGCCUGAGAGGGUGACCGGCCACAUUGGGACUGAGAUACGGCCCAGACUCCAACGGGAGGCAGCAGUGGGGAAUAUUGCACAAUGGGCGGAAGCCUGAUGCAGCAACGCCGCGUGCGGGAUGGCGGCCUUCGGGUUGUAAACCGCUUUCGCCUGUGACGAAGCGUGAGUGACGGUAAUGGGUAAAGAAGCACCGGCUAACUACGUG
rnacentral:rRNA from 1 species